ACAACGCAGUAGCGUCAGUAGCAUCAGUAGCAAAAACAAUAAUAAAUAGAAGUUAAUUCUCUUGCUAUUCAAUACAGAAGCGUCGCCUUGCCAGCCAGCAUGUGGCAGAACAGUUGACACCAUCUCAAAAAGAACCCCGUCUGGGUGGUUACAGAUCUCCUCCCAGGGCCCUCGCACCUGCUUCUGUUCCGCCAAGGCCAGCAGCUGCUUCUGAUUCGGCACCACAAAGCUAAU